GUGAAUCAUCGAAUUUUUGAACGCAUAUUGCACUCUCUGGUAUUCCGGAGAGUAUGCCUAUUUGAGGGUCAUUUGUAAUAAUAUAAAUUCCAAGAUAUAACGGAUUUUAAAAUGGGUGGUCCAUUUUUUGUGGUCGUCUAAAAUAAAAGACAAGCUCAUUUUCUUGGGUUGGGUGAUACUUUCAGUUACCUAGUGACUUAACUAGGAUUUAUCGGGUGUGUAA
rnacentral:misc_RNA from 1 species